GCGGCGGCGGCCAUCUUGGAAGAGGGCAAAAAGCCGCUUUGGCGCGCCCGCCUGGAGAACCUGCAGAGCGUGGAGGGGAGAGGCCGCAGGGAACGAGGUUGGGAAGGUGUAACCGCACCCCAGACUGAUGACAGUGACCAUGACUGCACACAGGGUGUGACAGCGCACUCAGGCGUACCCAGGUUCCUGGAAGGCUAGUGAUCACUCUUGACCAGUGAGUAGAAGCUUCACGUGCAGUUUCAGGCUAUCGUCUUCUCCAAUAGGUUGUUUUUGAAUGACAGUGACAGCCCUCGUUCACUGAGCACACCUGUGUGUCCAAUCAGGGCAUUUAACUUCUCUUCCCCCAAGACAGCUGGGCACGGAGGUGGAAGAAAGCAAAGAGUACCAUUCCCUCUUCUGCUGCCUGCAGUGACAGGUGUCCCAUGAGAGGGGACUGUUUUCAAAGACCCAGCUCCCCAAGGGAUAAGGCUCAUGCUUGACCCCGAGAGGGUGAGAGGAGUCUCACCCAGCCUUGGUUAGUGACACAAAGCCCCACCUUGGCCCGGCCUUAGGUUCGAAGCGAUGGGAUCAGGGGCCACUGCAAACUGCCUUUGACGCACCUGCCCUCACCCUGACAGGUGGGGAGCAUGCUCAGUUGUGCCCAGGACGAUUUCUAAAGAAGGAAACUGUCCAUGGUCCACAGUUCCCCAAUAGCCCUAAUGCGCCACACCCUACCCCCAGUAGUGGCCACAUGACUUGCUUUGGCCAAUGGAACAUUGGUAAGAAUGACACAAGCGAAGGCCUCAAAAGCCAUGCACAGGGACAUGUCCUGUUGGGAUGUCGCCUCCCGGAAGCCAGCAGACGCGAAGCUCUUAGAGGCUCAGGCAAGCCUGCAGAAUGACCAGAGACCCUCAGGAAUGAGAAGUUCCAGCCCCAGCUGAACGAAUGUCCCAGCAGCCACACGAGUGACCGCAGCUGUCUCCGUGGAGCAGAACUUCCCAGGAGAGCCCAGUCAACCCCCAGAACUAAGAGACAUAAUGCACCGCCGUUGUUUUAGGCAGCUCCAUUUUAAGGCCAUCUACUGUGCAUCAAUAAAUAACUGAAGCAGUGA